GGCGGCGCGGCCCUCGAGGUGACGCCAAGAGAGGCGCUAGGGCGAUUUUACGUUGUGUGGGGUGGGGCUGUGGGGAUGGAGCUCGCCACUCGGUGGGCGGUUCCGAAGACUUGGACCCGCUCCGGAGGAGGUGGGGCUGGUUGGGGCUGUGCUCUGGGUACCACGGUGCUGUAUCCUUUGUGCUGGCAAGAAAAAUAGACAAUACCGAGUAUUUACUUCUUGGGGAACUAAAUGAAGAACCUUCUUGCUGAAUAAUGAAACUGAGGCAAAGGCAUCAAAUAUGAUUAAAUUCGACUGUUAUGUUCUCCACCACAAACCACAGAAACAUCGUAGCACAAUGAUCACAGAACACCUUAACUGUAAUGGGCCAAUAAGAAGAGAAAAAAAGAAACAGGCUUGGGGACUUAAGAGGAUGAUGAAUUUGGAACUGCAAAUGAAGAGAUAAGGGCCAUAUCCCCUGAACAGUUUUUCCAAGUCCAUUCACAAGGAAAAUCUUCAACUUCAGGAGACUCAAAAGACCUUUCUAUGUGAAUUUUCCGAUGCUGACUGAGGGGUUCUCCCAGUGAUCUUAAGAACAUGGCCAUGAAAACUCCGGUGACGUGCCUUAUGCAUCCAGAACCACCACCUUAAAGAGGCAGCAGUGAUUCACCCAGACACAU